rnacentral:rRNA from 1 species
GACGAACGCUGGCGGCGUGCCUAAUACAUGCAAGUUGAGCGAUGAAGAUUGGUGCUUGCCCCAAUUUGAAGAGCAGCGAACGGGUGAGUAACGCGUGGGGAAUCUGCCUUUGAGCGGGGGACAACAUUUGGAAACGAAUGCUAAUACCGCAUAACAACUUUAAACAUAAGUUUUAAGUUUGAAAGAUGCAAUUGCAUCACUCAAAGAUGAUCCCGCGUUGUAUUAGCUAGUUGGUGAGGUAAAGGCUCACCAAGGCGAUGAUACAUAGCCGACCUGAGAGGGUGAUCGGCCACAUUGGGACUGAGACACGGCCCAAACCCCUACGGGAGGCAGCAGUAGGGAAUCUUCGGCAAUGGACGAAAGUCUGGCCGAGCAACGCCGCGUGAGUGAAGAAGGUUUUCGGAUCGUAAAACUCUGUUGGUAGAGAAGAACGUUGGUGAGAGUGGAAAGCUCAUCAAGUGACGGUAACUACCCAGAAAGGGACGGCUAACUACGUG